GACUCUGAAACUAAAUAUAUGCCAUUAUGAUGUCUUUAAGUGCUAAGGGAUUCCAAGCUAAACAAAUGACAAAGUGACCUUUUUCCAUGUAACUGAAUUAUCACAUGUAGUUCUGUGCAAUAAUUCAUGAUCAUUUAUCCCUUUUCAGGGGGUUUGUAUUGUGAUGAUAUGAACAUAUUAUUCUUAUCAAUACUGUAAAACUGAUUUCAACCAUCUCUAGCCCUGUGCACACAUUUUAAACCCAUUUCCAAACAGCCAGCAAAUUAAACUGUGAAAGUGGGUGUUUUCAUCCACUAGUGUUAUGAAAUACAGUCAAGAGUGCCUGACAUUAUGUCAUCACUGCUUCUCACCUAAUGCACCUACGUUGCAUUCAUUCAUUAACAGAGCUAUUUUGGCUCCAGAGGUAAAAGUCCCAUUAAUCACAGACGAUGCUAUGUGACUCACAGGUGGAGCACUUCUAUGGCUUAGAGCAGCACGAAGCUCUCCUGGUUGAAUCAUCGGGACAAAAGAUGAACAGCUGUGUUAGAAAAGAUCUGGUUCUUCUUGAUAAAAAGUCAAAGGUACGAGAAGCCUGUGGACAUAAAAACUGAAGGAGAGACGUCAACUACGACUCCCAGGGUGCAUUUCACUAAAAAACAUCCAAUAACCGAGUGGCAUGCAGCAAAGGGCAGCAGGCUGGAAUCGAACCCGUGCCACUGCGGUAAGGACUGAGCUAUCGGGGAGCCCCUUAAGAAAAAAACAUAAAGUAUGUGUCAUGUAUGUGUUGAUUCUGUAAUGAGGCAGCUACAGUGUAAAGACUUAAGAAUCACUUUUAAUUUGCACGAAGUUCACCCCCACACCUGAGCAGGUCAACCACAGCAACACCUGUUGGAGCCUGUUCAUGUCUGCAGACACUGCUCCUCACAUUUUGGACUAACAGAGAAAAGACAUGCUGACGGAGAUUAGCCAGGCUACAUCUGUACAGCAGACUGCAUGGUGAAUACUGUGACACCGACCACUGAGCGGCCUGGCCUUCAGGCACACCGACUGCAGCUGACAGUUCAGCCACAGUUACUGAAUCCACUGCAAAAGGCAACUCCAGGUAACACGGCAUCGCAAAACCGCGGCAAACGCUCACUCAGGGACCCGGCACCCGGUACCUGACACCCGGUACCUGACACCCGGCACCAGGCACCCGGUACCUGACACCUGACACCCGGUACCUGACGUGCGUCAUGUUUUCAGUUUAACAAAUCCCUUGGGACACUUGAAUCGAUGCACGUGUGGGACAUCAGGAGCAUUUUAUUUUACAGUUAUUUAACACUGUAUGGAAGCCUUUGGUCAAGAAGAAGAAUGACAGUGACUGUGAGACAUGGAGCCAGGUGGUGUCUUCACAGGGGGAUCUGACCUGGUUUCCCUGCUACUAAUUGAAUGUCAUCUAUAACAUCAUUGCACAGAGAGAGAACUCUGUGGUGUCCCUGGCUCAGACUACAAGGAACCUGGGUGUGACACUGGAUGACCAGCUGUCUACUGUAACUCGCUCCUGGCUGGUGUGUCUGCAUGUGCCAUCCGACCUCUGCAGCUCAUCCAGAAUGCAGCAGCUCGGCUGGUCUUCAACCUACCCAAGUUCUCCCACACUACACCGCUCCCCGCACCCUACACUGA